rnacentral:rRNA from 1 species
GCCGGUGACAAACCGGAGGAAGGUGGGGAUGACGUCAAGUCAUCAUGGCCCUUACGGCCUGGGCUACACACGUGCUACAAUGGUCGGUACAAAGGGUUGCCAAGCCGCGAGGUGGAGCUAAUCCCAUAAAACCGAUCGUAGUCCGGAUCGCAGUCUGCAACUCGACUGCGUGAAGUCGGAAUCGCUAGUAAUCGUGAAUCAGAAUGUCACGGUGAAUACGUUCCCGGGCCUUGUACACACCGCCCGUCACACCAUGGGAGUGGGUUGCACCAGAAGUAGCUAGUCUAACCUUCGGGAGGACGGUUACC